AGUUAAUCGGGCCGAUUAACCAGGUGCGUUAAUUGGGGGUUAUAAAUGGAAAGAAAUGGGACAAAAAAGGAGAAAGCAGGAAAAGCAUUUAUAAAAAAAAGGAGAAUAGAAAAGGGUGGUUUGACAUCCGUUUGUAGACGGUAACUGAUGGAAAUGAUGGCCGUUUUGUCACUGUUCAUUAGUCGUUUGUCAGACAUUAUUGCACCGUCCAAUUUGAAUGUAUUUCAAAAGUGUAGUGUUUCCUUUUCAAAAUUCAAUUGGAUAAUUGACUUAAAAUAUUCUUUGUCAUUGUUCAAUUAUAUUUUCACAAUUUCACUGUAGUAAAAACCUAACCUUGAAUCCAAUCUGUAGUUGCCGCCGCUUUUGUUAUUCUCUCCGCGUAGGAGCUGAUUUUGAAGAUCAGUGCAUGCUAUAAAUGGCAGAUCUGGACUGUGAAGAGACAUUUUAUCUCGAUCUACUAAAUAAAAGACCAGUACGUGCAGUGGGGUGUGUUCCCAAGGCUAACGACAUGGGAUAUGUAGGAGAUUAGAAAAGCCGGGGAAUCGGAGCUACGGGAACAACAGGAGAUUGAUAUAUUGUGUUAAUGAUAUAGUUCUACUGUAUGGUACAAUCUGAACAAGAAAUGUUUGUUAUUUGUGGUACAAUGUAUCUGGUACAAUCUGUACAAUAUAUGGUACAAUCUGAACAAUAUAUGUUACAAUCUGAA